rnacentral:rRNA from 1 species
GUGCCUAUACAUGCAAGUCGUACGCACUGGCCCAACUGAUUGAUGGUGCUUGCACCUGAUUGACGAUGGAUCACCAGUGAGUGGCGGACGGGUGAGUAACACGUAGGUAACCUGCCCCGGAGCGGGGGAUAACAUUUGGAAACAGAUGCUAAUACCGCAUAACAACAAAAGCCGCAUGGCUUUUGUUUGAAAGAUGGCUUUGGCUAUCACUCUGGGAUGGACCUGCGGUGCAUUAGCUAGUUGGUAAGGUAACGGCUUACCAAGGCGAUGAUGCAUAGCCGAGUUGAGAGACUGAUCGGCCACAAUGGAACUGAGACACGGUCCAUACUCCUACGGGAGGCAGCAGUAGGGAAUCUUCCACAAUGGGCGCAAGCCUGAUGGAGCAACACCGCGUGAGUGAAGAAGGGUUUCGGCUCGUAAAGCUCUGUUGUUGGAGAAGAACGUGCGUGAGAGUAACUGUUCACGCAGUGACGGUAUCCAACCAGAAAGUCACGGCUAACUACGUGCCAGCAGCCGCGGUAAUACGUAGGUGGCAAGCGUUAUCCGGAUUUAUUGGGCGUAAAGCGAGCGCAGGCGGUUGCUUAGGUCUGAUGUGAAAGCCUUCGGCUUAACCGAAGAAGUGCAUCGGAAACCGGGCGACUUGAGUGCAGAAGAGGACAGUGGAACUCCAUGUGUAGCGGUGGAAUGCGUAGAUAUAUGGAAGAACACCAGUGGCGAAGGCGGCUGUCUGGUCUGCAACUGACGCUGAGGCUCGAAAGCAUGGGUAGCGAACAGGAUUAGAUACCCUGGUAGUCCAUGCCGUAAACGAUGAGUGCUAGGUGUUGGAGGGUUUCCGCCCUUCAGUGCCGGAGCUAACGCAUUAAGCACUCCGCCUGGGGAGUACGACCGCAAGGUUGAAACUCAAAGGAAUUGACGGGGGCCCGCACAAGCGGUGGAGCAUGUGGUUUAAUUCGAAGCUACGCGAAGAACCUUACCAGGUCUUGACAUCUUGCGCUAACCUUAGAGAUAAGGCGUUCCCUUCGGGGACGCAAUGACAGGUGGUGCAUGGUCGUCGUCAGCUCGUGUCGUGAGAUGUUGGGUUAAGUCCCGCAACGAGCGCAACCCUUGUUACUAGUUGCCAGCAUUGAGUUGGGCACUCUAGUGAGACUGCCGGUGACAAACCGGAGGAAGGUGGGGACGACGUCAGAUCAUCAUGCCCCUUAUGACCUGGGCUACACACGUGCUACAAUGGACGGUACAACGAGUCGCAAACUCGCGAGAGUAAGCUAAUCUCUUAAAGCCGUUCUCAGUUCGGACUGUAGGCUGCAACUCGCCUACACGAAGUCGGAAUCGCUAGUAAUCGCGGAUCAGCAUGCCGCGGUGAAUACGUUCCCGGGCCUUGUACACACCGCCCGUCACACCAUGGGAGUUUGUAACGCCCAAAGUCGGUGGCCUAACCUUUAUGGAGGGAGCCGCCUAAAGGC